ACAUUACACUCGGCUGCAAGAACUACUCCUUCCUCAAACGGCCCAGGAGAUGGCUACUAAAGUUCUUUUUCAUUGAUGUGGUUGGCACUGACAACUUGUUGCUACUCCCAGUUGCCCUGAGGACAUGGUGCUUGCCAGGCAACUGAAAGGUCAUUCAGAGUCACCCACAUUGGUCGAGAGGCUGGAGUCACACGACAGCAGCAACUCGAAGGGCAGGAGCUUGGACCAGGGGCCUGUUGUGAGCAGUGAGUCACUGAUUUGAGCUUUUAUAUUUAAAAUCAGAGACCAGAGGUUUCUGGAAA